rnacentral:rRNA from 1 species
GACGAACGCUGGCGGCGUGCCUAAUACAUGCAAGUUGAGCGCUGAAGGUUGGUACUUGUACCAACUGGAUGAGCAGCGAACGGGUGAGUAACGCGUGGGGAAUCUGCCUUUGAGCGGGGGACAACAUUUGGAAACGAAUGCUAAUACCGCAUAAAAACUUUAAACACAAGUUUUAAGUUUGAAAGAUGCAAUUGCAUCACUCAAAGAUGAUCCCGCGUUGUAUUAGCUAGUUGGUGAGGUAAAGGCUCACCAAGGCGAUGAUACAUAGCCGACCUGAGAGGGUGAUCGGCCACAUUGGGACGGAGACACGGCCCAAACUCCUACGGGAGGCAGCAGUAGGGAAUCUUCGGCAAUGGACGAAAGUCUGACCGAGCAACGCCGCGUGAGUGAAGAAGGUUGUCGGAUCGUAAAACUCGGUUGGUAGAGAAGAACGUUGGUGAGAGUGGAAAGCUCAUCAAGUGACGGUAACUACCCAGAAAGGGACGGCUAACUACGUG